rnacentral:lncRNA from 1 species
CGCAAAUUCUUCGUAAGGUUACGACGAAAUAGCGAGCAGUUACAAAGGCCCGUGUUUUUUGUACGAAAAAAUUGUGAGGAAUUACAAAGGCCCGUAUUUUUAUAUACGAGGUAUUAACGACAAUUUUGCUUACGUGGAAUUAACGAGCCUUGCUUUCCUAUAAAUAUACCCACAACUCUCAUUCUCAAACCACACACAAAAUCCCAAAU